AUGCCCUACCAUGAUGAGGAGUACCCAGGCCAGCCUCUCUGGCAGUCUGUGCUGCUUUUCUGCUGCAAGGGCAUGAUCGAAGGCAUCAUGAUCCUUCUCUUCUUCUGGCUCCUGGUGCAGGUCCUCUUCACAAAACAACUGGAAGUUCACCUUCAGGUUCUUCUUUUGGUCGGACUGAUCAUAUUUUGUCUGACUUUGAUUCUGGGAUGCAUCAUGUGCUGGAAGAAAAGUGACUUGUGCUCAGGAAAAGACAAAGCUCCGGUCCCAUCAGCCCUGCCUGCUGUUGAGCCGUUGAACUCUGCUCGUAGCCGACGUCCUUCAGGAGCUACCGCUGCAUCCAGGCAGCUGUACGAGGAGCUAGAUGGAGACCUGCUGGAGUACCCCUCCACCUUCACCAGCCCAGCCCCGUCUCAGAGUGAAAUAGUCUCUCAGCCAUUUUCUGAUCAAGAUCAUAAUCAGAGAACAACUUAUUUCUCCGUUCGCCGCCUCAGCUCCCCUCUGCAAACAGCACCCCUCUACAAACCCAUGCAUCCCAGCCGUGCUUCGCUGCCUUCGCUUCCCUCACUGCCCAAACUGGGGAUGUUGACUAGAACAUGUAAGGCCAUGCAAAGGCACAGCAGUGUCACAGGUGACAAUAAAUCCUACAAUGAACACAGCAGACUCACCAUCAACUCCUCAUUAAUGCCUGGAAAUCUAAUCCCUAUGGCUCAACUGAACUACGGCUCCAAUGCAAACUGCAAACAGCUGUUUUCAUUUAAACCCUGCCUCCAUUUUACCAUGGCCCUCUGUCUGGAGCAGCAUACUUUAACAGUCACUGUCUUAAACCUCACUGGGAGGCCUCAGGGAUUGGAGGAUGUUACUGUGCUGGGAAGUCUGCCACCCCUGCAUGAAUGUCCGACUCCAGCCACAACUCGGAGAAGCCUAAGCCCUGAGUCGCUCAGCUUGGUGCUGGUUUUUAACGUGAGCUCUGUGAGCGAGAUCCCAAGCUGUGAACUACGGUUAGCUGUUUAUGAGGACAACACACAGAGCACAGACGGCUGCGCUCUGGGUGAGGUGGAGUUCAAAUGUGAAGGAAGAGACUGGAGAAAAGAGCAUCCAUUGAUCCUCGUGAAAGAACUUACUGCAAACAAAGUGAACACUGAAAAGUCACUGCAAAGUCAGACCUCCCAGGAUGUACUGAGGGGGUCCAGCUGUCCUCCACAGAUCUUCAUUGGGCUUCAGUAUCAGGCUCUGACCCAUUGCAUCAAAGUCACGGUCCUCAGAGCUGAAAACCUCCAAAAGCUUGUUCACACACAGAUGGCAGCAGAUUACCAGGUGAUUAUAAACCUGCACAACGAGGGAGUUUUGAUCAGCAGCAGAGAAACAACACGAGAAUCCUGCACCGUUUGGAAUAAAACAUCCUUCCUGUUUAAGCUGCCUCCAGGGGACAUCCAUCAGCUGCCAGUCCUGUUUGAGUUUGUAAUCAUGCAGUGUCAUGCAUGCUCAGAUAGCACAGCUGUUGGUCGAGUGCGGAUCGGUGCAGAUGCUGCAGAUGCAGGACGUAAUCAUUGGAUGGACAUGUGCAGCCUGCAGGUGGAGCGUGCACGCUGGCACAUCAUUCAACCAGAGACACUUCAACAUGUCGGUGCUGCAAAAGUGUUAUAA
ensembl:lncRNA